rnacentral:rRNA from 1 species
UAGGGAAUCUUCGGCAAUGGACGAAAGUCUGACCGAGCAACGCCGCGUGAGUGAAGAAGGUUUUCGGAUCGUAAAACUCUGUUGUUAGAGAAGAACAAGGACGUUAGUAACUGAACGUCCCCUGACGGUAUCUAACCAGAAAGCCACGGCUAACUACGUGCCAGCAGCCGCGGUAAUACGUAGGUGGCAAGCGUUGUCCGGAUUUAUUGGGCGUAAAGCGAGCGCAGGCGGUUUCUUAAGUCUGAUGUGAAAGCCCCCGGCUCAACCGGGGAGGGUCAUUGGAAACUGGGAGACUUGAGUGCAGAAGAGGAGAGUGGAAUUCCAUGUGUAGCGGUGAAAUGCGUAGAUAGAUGGAGGAACACCAGUGGCGAAGGCGGCUCUCUGGUCUGUAACUGACGCGGAGGCUCGAAAGCGUGGGGAGCAAACAGG